UAAGCCUCGCUGCUACGUAAGCAGGUCAAGGCAGGGAGAAGCGUUUUUCAUGCCUUAGAUUAUUUAUUAACACAUACAAGUAACUUCUUCUAGAUAGCUUGGGAUAAGUAAUCCAGGAAGCGAGGCCAAGUGAAAACCACACCCUCGGCAAAGAUGGUAAAGAAUGAAGACCGGUAUCAAGUGGCUUUUGGAGAGAACACCAAGGCUGACGUAAGGAAGGUUCUGAGCCACUUGGUCUGUUCUUUAGAAUCAGAGACGAAAAUAAGGAAUUUUCCCAGAGACUUGCCAAGGUAUAGAAGAGGUAUGGACAUCAGCAGACACCUUUGCUGCAGAGGCGCCCAAGGGUUGCUGCUUCCAGUGUUGAAAUGACAUGUUAAAAGAAACUUGCUCUGGAUAGAAGCUCCAGAAAAUGUUGAAGUGGAAAGAAAAGUGAGGCAAAGCUGGAAGCCAUUUUGGAAGACGUUCCUUAAGUUGUAAGAAGGGAAAAUAGCCAGCUUAGCAGAUUUUCCUUUUCAGCCCUAAACAAAGAAAUUCAGCCAAAUUAUUUUUUCAUUUCUACCCUGAAGGUAUAAUUAUGGCCCCAUGGCCAGUGCCUUUGCUUCUGGAUAACUCACUAUAUAGCACAAAGUGUAAAAUGCCUGGGGUAGUGGAAACCAAGUGAAUUGGGCAGUAGAAAAUAAACAUCCUACUCAUGAUUCUUCUAAAAGCAGCUAUGGAUUUGGGGGAAAUCACUUCAUUGUCUUUGUCUCACUUUACUUUGAAAAUGGGGAAGUUAAUUUUUUCAAGUUUACUUAUUUUGAGAGAGAGAAUUGCAAGCAGGCUCUGCACUGUCAGCACAGAAGAAAAUGGGGGGUUAUGGUAGAAGAUCCCCAGAAUCAUUUCUAGCUCUGCCACAGUUGAUUCUUUGAAUCAGAAGAAAAAAAGAAAUAGAUAAAUAGAAGGACAUCAUGUAUAUUUGUCUCUCAGUCUAUUGCGAUCUCUACAAUCCUAAAUGGGUUAUAUAGAAUAUAUAGAGAAAAUGGAAAGCGAAUGACACCAUUGAAAGGAAACCCAGCAAUAUUCUCCCACAAAUGAAACAAUGAUUUUUAGGCUAUUCUUAGGCUGCAUAGGAAAUUUAUAAUUUUUUCUCUCUAAUUUUGUUUCCCUAAAUAUUUUUCAUAUUCACACUAGCAUCUUAAAAAAAAAACUUAAAUUUAUACCAUCAUACAGAAUUAAUGCCAACCAGGCUGGUGUAAUCUACUCUAUCACAUAGGUCAGCUUCCAUUAUGGAAAACUACAACUGUAUACUUUUUUUUAAGUUUAUUUAUUUAUUUUGAA